rnacentral:rRNA from 1 species
UAGUCCACGCCGUAAACGAUGGUCACUAGCUGUUCGGACUUCGGUCUGAGUGGCUAAGCGAAAGUGAUAAGUGACCCACCUGGGGAGUACGUUCGCAAGAAUGAAACUCAAAGGAAUUGACGGGGGCCCGCACAAGCGGUGGAGCAUGUGGUUUAAUUCGAUGAUACGCGAGGAACCUUACCAGGGCUUAAAUGUAAGUUGCAUUAGCUAGAGAUAGUUAUUUCUUCGGACUACUUACAAGGUGCUGCAUGGUUGUCGUCAGCUCGUGCCGUGAGGUGUCAGGUUAAGUCCUAUAACGAGCGCAACCCCUGUUGUUAGUUGCCAGCGAUUCAAGUCGGGAACUCUAACAAGACUGCCAGUGCAAACUGUGAGGAAGGUGGGGAUGACGUCAAAUCAUCACGGCCCUUACGUCCUGGGCUGCACACGUGCUACAAUGGGCGAGACAAUGAGCUGCAAACUUGCGAAAGUUAGCUAAUCUAUAAACUCGUUCUUAGUUCGGAUUG